ensembl:lncRNA
GGACAGAUCAAAUCAGCCAUUACAAAAUCUUUAUUCAAGAAAGCUCCAUCAGGAUAUCAAAAUGGGUCACAAAAAUCUGCGUUUGCCUCUCCACCAUAACCACAACCUGGGGACACUCCUGAACGCUGCGUCCACAGGCCUCUGGUCACACACACAAAGUGGUGGCUGUCCUUUUUGAAAAUUUGAAAUAGGAUAUGAUUCGUAAAAUGUUUUUUCCCUUCUUCACGUGAAGGUGGUGUGCAUCAAUCGUCCCUUCUCUUCUGAGGUUUUUACAGAACAAAUUUGAGGAAAGACAUCCCAUUACAGGACCUGUAAUUUAUCGACUUGUAAUUAUACUUUUUUCAAAAGGUUUCCCAGGUAUUGGACAACUUAAGGUGCGUUAAGUUUUAUCUCCCCAGCCUAAAAAGAAGACAUAAAUAAAGAUGCACCAAGAUGCAUUUUGUUUUGGGGUGGAAUCUCAACAAGAAACUGUUUUCUCCAUUUAACUGGGAGGAAGUCGCGGUUAUUGUUGUUCAGUUGCUCUUAGGGUAGCAACAGUCCAGCCCCGAUAUACCGACCUCUGACCUCUAAGAUGCCUGUAGGGUAAAGAAUGCUGCAUGCGUGCUGAAGACUUGUAUUAUUUUUAACCCUUCUUCGUUGUGCUCUCUCUCUCGCUCUCUCUCACUCUCUCACUCUGGUUUUUUUGAGGUUGAUCUGUGUAUUUUCUUACACAACUAAAGUUGUGAUUUGCCCUUCAAUAAAUACACGCAAUCAGCUACUCAUUGUGCAGUCAUUUCAUGCAGAAUAUGUGGAUCCCCAGACAGAAUCCUGAUGAGAGAAAUGUGCCUUGACCGGGCCACAAGUUGCCUUAGAUGCAGUCAAAGACUCACUCGUCAAAUGCAUUCAGAUCACAUAUUCUCACGGAUACAAUUCUGUUUCAGCAAAAAAGUAUCCAUCUUUAGGCUGUUUUGUCAAAUAUAUAUCUAUAUAUAUCAUGGAUUAGGCUUUGACAGAUGAGACAAUCCUAACAAAGUUCUUAUUGGAAGUGAAUUCGACUUGAAUUUGGUUUCAAGACGCACUUGAUAAUCCCUUUUUAAAAGGUGGGUAUACUAAUUAAUUAUAGUUAUUAGAAUCGGGAGGUGCAAAAAUGAAAAUAUAAGCAGUUUUAGAGCCCUCAGAAAGGAUUAAACAAUAUAAAUAUAACAUUUCCCCAUCACUUUACAACAAUUUCUUCCAAAGUAUCAUUGCCCCGCUUCUUCAUGACGUCAUCAACAUGGGAUUGUUAUUAUAUAAGCACAUGUAACCCCCAAGCCUGGAAGAGCAGCCAACAGCACUCAUUCUUUGUGUGUAAACACAGCUGGUUCCACAAGUCCAAUAGAUCCACCAUUAAAAAAGAACAUCCCAUAGUUUUCCGCACGGAUAGCAGCAUAAACCAGAGGAGUCGUCCACAUCCUGACAGCUCCGCUGCAGUAGGUCGUACCUGGGCAGGGUGGUCGCGCGGGGUCAGGUCCGAGGUCUCGGGGGUCAGGAGAAGGGCACCUCCCAUCUCUGUGUGUAGGCGCUGAGUUCGCAGGGGCUGAUGACCAGCAUGCGGGAGGAGUCCAUGCCGUCCAGAGCCAUCUCGGAGUCCAGGCAGAACCGGGAGGCCAGGUGCUCCAGGUGGGUGCCGGACUUCUGCCAUCGCUGGGGACCACAGCCAGGAGCAGCACACAGAAAGGGUUACAUGGAGAUAACGUUCACAACAUGACUCUCUAUCAGCGUGUACACCUGGUAAUGGUUUAAGGCCUCCUGUUGUACCAUAAGGUGUGAGGCUGAGUCGUUAACAUAAUCUGAACUACCAUAGGUGAACCACCUAUGAUGAAUCUAGCUCAAGAAUCAGAUGGUAAAUGUUAGCACGCAAUGCAUGCUCAUAUUUGCCACUAGAUGGCAGUAUCUUCUAUCUUUCAGAAAAGAUCGAAGAGAGUUGUUAAAGUCGAAAC